rnacentral:rRNA from 1 species
UACGUAGGAUGCAAGCGUUAUCCGGAAUUAUUGGGCGUAAAGCGUACGUAGGCGGUUUACCAAGUCUGGAGUUAAAGACCGAGGCUCAACCUCGGGAGUGCUCUGGAAACUGGUAGGCUGGAGGACGGCAGAGGAAAGUGGAAUUCCCAGUGUAGCGGUGAAAUGCGUAGAUAUUGGGAGGAACACCAGUGGCGAAAGCGACUUUCUGGGCCGUUCCUGACGCUGAGGUACGAAAGCCAGGGGCAGCAAACGGG